ACAGAAAUAAUAGCAUACAUUCGGACAAACCGCAAUAGUGAAAAUGAACGUAAUAUAGGGAAUUAAAUGAAAUACAAAGAGUAAUUCACUUUCUUUUCUUUUGACUGCUAAUGGUCUUACUGAGAACAUCAUUUACAUAUUCCAGCAAAUAUGCACUUUCUUUUCUGAUGUUGGAGAUUUUUACCACAGUGAUCGAAAUAAAACACAUUAAACGGUCAAUACCCAACGGAAAAUCUGAUAAAUGGAGAAACUUUAAACUCUAAGGCAGAUUAGUCUGAGAAUAAUGAGACUGAAAAUGUAUUUAAGUGUAAAGAUACAUUUUUGACGACAUCGUGGAAGAGCAUCAAUUAAAAUAAAUCGCUGUAGUCGACUCUAGUACGAAUUUCGAUGUAUGACCACCGGGAAUCCUGCCCAUUGAAUUAGCGUGCAAUGUGACUGAGUAUUCCACAGACACUGUAAGAAAGUUUUGCUCUGAGCAAUUGGAACAGAAGCACAAAUCUAUUUAUCUGUCUUAGACUGAAAAUAGGAACAAUAAAACUGAGUGAGUAUUAGACAGUUAGAAAGAGAUGUAGAGUAGCAAAAUUGAAAGAGAGAUUAGAGAGAAAACUGAUAAAUAGUAAAGUGUGCUUCCAACCAUCCAUCUACCCAUUCAUCUAUGCAUCCAUCUAUCUAUCCAACAAGCCAGCCAGCCAACCAUCCAACAUACCAGCCAACCAACAGUCCACCAUUUUAUCUUUGAAAAUGAGCAGCGACAAAACAAAUUAUUGACGUGGAAGGUCCAAAGAAACGUGUAGCACAAAACGGGUUCAAACAUUUCAAGGAAGAAGACACCAACUCUGAAAACACACCAAAGAAGAUGAAGCCUUGUUUGAAAUGGUUGAACAACAGCCAAGCACAACCACACGCACAUUGUUGGUAGAUCUUGGUCUUUCACAAAGCACCAUCAAUCCAUAGCCAUAAACUCGGCCUUGCGGACAGAGGCUGUCAAAAAGCUCCUCAGGAACAAACCUAUGACCAGGAUCAACGACGUGUGAGCACUUGCAAAAAAAUGCUUGCAAAUCCUCGAAGUGCCCGUUUUUUUGGCGUCUAAUUGUAACUGGAAAGAAAAAAAUGGAUCUAAUUUCACAAUAAAAGAAUUCAGUGGUUUCGUUCCAGACAGGUUAUCAAACAAACAAUGUCAGGUUGAACAGUAGGUCAUCUGUAUUUGGCGGAAUUUCGAAGGGUUGUUGCCAUUUGAGUUUGUCCCAUAUGGUGAUGCUGUGAACGCUCACUUUUAUUCUCAACGACUGCAGCGAGUAUAUGAUGCUUUGAAAGCUCAUUACAUGGCAUUGGUGAAUCGAAGAUGCGCACUCCCACUGCAUGACGUCGACACAGCACACACUGCUAAUGUUACUAAGUGCAAACUUGGAGAAAUUGAGGGCCUAGAAUUGCUGCCUCACCUUGCCUAUGUUCAGACGUUUCUCCAACAGAUUACAACUUUUCCGUGCUAUGGCUCAUUUCCGUGCUAUGGCUCAUUUCCUGCACGGCCUAUUGUUCAUCAAUGUGGAUGAGGAUGAAAACAGGCGCAGGGGAUCUUUUGUCUCUAAACCGGCCAAAUAAUAUAAGCGUGGAAUUGAGCUUCUGGGACAACGGAGGCAACAGACAAUAUAAUAUGAUGGUAUACAUUGUGAUAA